rnacentral:rRNA from 1 species
UUCUUGCAUCGCUUUACGCUAUGAACCACACUUAACGUUUUAGGGCACUUGGUAGCUCAGAAACUUGCGUUCAACGUGGGCUUCGGAAGACCGGCUCCCGUGCGGACGGA